rnacentral:lncRNA from 1 species
CGUCAAAUCCCCGGAUUACCCACCAGCCUUCUGUCCCCGACCUCGAGCUCGGUUUCCUCAUCUCUGAACCUGGGUUACUUAUGUCUGAGCAGGAUGUGAACGGAUGGCCCACUUGAUCCCCUAUGUGUCUGAGCAGGAACACAACCACACGGAGGAUUAGAGAGAGAGAGGAUCGGCCAUCACAUCCAGAUGAUGCAAAUCUGCUCCCUGCUUCACAUGUGAAUAGGGACAGCUUUACGGUGGAUUGGAAGUUAACAUGAGGAUGACAAGAACCCCUUGGAACUGUGAUUGAAUUGGCAGUGAGCCCAAAUCCUCAUUCCAAAGAGUGAAA